AACAAACGCUCUUUAUGAGACUUAUAAAUAACCAAUAACAUCAAAGUCCCAGCUUUAGCUUCAAAUGCUUUAACUUAUAUGUUAAAUAGAGGGCGCAUGAUGUUAAGAUUAAGUAAGUUCAUAAAAAUAGUCCUAACAUAACUAAAAAGUUAUUGGUGAUGUUAAGAAUCUAGAUAACGUUAUAUUGUUUAUAAAUACGAGUAAUCAGUAAAUGAGAAGUUAGUGAAGAAUUUAUUGAAAUGGUAUUGAGUAGUGAUUGAACAUUCAGUAAAACAUUCAAUGUGUGAAAGGUUAAGUAGUUGUUGAUCGAGAGAACACUGAUGGAGUAAAGUUUUAUCAAUUGCCAGAACAAUUGAAGAUCAUGGUGGAGAGAUGCCACCUUGGCUGAAAAUGCUGGCCAAAGAGCCCAGCUAAUGUUCAGCCUUUUCUUCACUUGAUUAGUGAAACAGAUGCUGGAUGUCAAGCUCGAGGUUCACCAAUGUUGGAUAAUUAUGGCAGCACUCAGGAACUUAGUUGCCAUUAAACUACAAUACCACUCACCAGUAACUGGUGGAAAUGCUAAUACAAAUGUUGAGAGACCAUUCUACCUACAGACCUGUUGAAAAUUCAUCAGUUUACAUCACUGCCGUCAACCCACUACCCCUGCCCGUUGAGAAGUUCAGCAGUUUACAGGUUACACACCAGCCAAACUUCACUUGGGACAGACUGAUGAAAUACCUCAAUCUAUAGAUGAACAAACAGCAGAAUUACAAGAUGUCAUACAGAAGGCAAAUUCCAAUGUUGAAAAGGCUCAGAAGUGACACCAACAAGCUUACAACCCAAAAAAGAUACCCAGACAUCUUUAAAGUGAUGUCUCUUUUUACCUGCACAGAUGUUUCAGCACUGUGUGUGUAAAAUCCAGGUUGAAUGGUUUUACAUUGAAAUAUCCUAGGAUGGCCAAUUAUUGCAGGUGUAUCUGUCUGAUACUUGUCAGGAGACUGGUUUUAUCUGAAAAUACCAUGUUAGCAUGCAGGAUUUAUGAGAAGACAGAGAACAGAACUAAGAAACUUUUAUUUCUCUUUUUGUUAAUGUUGUUUUCUUGAUGAUGUAUAAUUAUAGGAAUUCUGAUAGUACUUACAGGAUUGAAUAUACUCCUAGGCAAAGUUUGUUAUAUCUGAGAAUUAUCCUGGGGUUGUAACAAUUUCUAAUUUUGUUGUAUUCUCAGAAGAAACUGACAUGUGAGAAUUAAUUGUAGAAACAGGAACAUUUUGAAGUUUUUUGUAAAGUGUGAAUAAAACAAACUCGACAAAAGAGA
rnacentral:lncRNA from 1 species